rnacentral:rRNA from 1 species
UGUAGGCGGCCUUUUAAGUCAGACGUGAAAUCCAUGGGCUUAACCCAUGAAUUGCGUUUGAAACUGGAGGGCUUGAGGAUCGGAGAGGGCAGUGGAAUUCCCAGUGUAGCGGUGAAAUGCGUAGAUAUUGGGAGGAACACCAGUGGCGAAGGCGACUGCCUGGACGACACCUGACGCUGAGGCGCGAAAGCUAGGGGAGCAAACGGGAUUAGAUACCCCGGUAGUCCUAGCCGUAAACGAUGGGUACUAGGUGUGGGAGGUAUCGACCCCUUCCGUGCCGCAGUUAACACAAUAAGUACCCCGCCUGGGGAGUACGGCCGCAAGGUUGAA